rnacentral:rRNA from 1 species
AUUGAACGCUGGCGGCAGGCCUAACACAUGCAAGUCGAACGAGUGGCGGACGGGUGAGUAAUGUCUGGGAAAUUGCCCGAUGGAGGGGGAUAACUACUGGAAACGGUAGCUAAUACCGCAUACCAUCGGAUGUGCCCUGAGGGGAUUGGCUAGUAGGUGGGUUAACGGCUCACCUAGGCGACGAUCCCUAGCUGGUCUGAGCGGAUGACCGACCACACGGGAAUGGGGAAAGGGUCCAAACUCCUACGGGAGGCAGCAGUGGGGAAUAUUGCAAAAUGGGCGCAAGCCUGAUGCAGCAAUGCCGGGUGUAUGAAGAAGGCCUUCGGGUUGUAAAGUACUUUCAGCGAGGAGGCGUUACUCGAAGAAGAAGCACCGGCUAACUCCGUGCCAGCAGCCGCGGUAAUUC